GUUCAUAUACAUUCAGUGAGGUGUGGACGUGUGGUGCCGCUUUAAUCUGCAGAAAAGAAGUUUAGCUAUUGCUUUGUAUGAAUGAUACAGGAUUACUGAAGCUUGUUAAAGCUUCAGGUGAAACAGGACUAUAUGCGCUUCCCUGUCGCUCAAUUGCGCUCUGCUGCUCAUGCGAAACAGCGGUGCACCGCUUUUCGCUUGUACAUCUUCCCGGGUUUAAGAAUUGCGAAGUUGCGCUGUGUCGCCUUAGCGGAAGAAUGCUGUGAGUUCUUCUAUGCACACCUCCCUGGCUGAAAGGAUUAUUGGAAUUGUACUUCACGGCUUUUCAAGGCUUUCCCCGGACUUCUAUCAACAAGAAAGGAACUUUUGUUUGAAAAAUAAGACUUUGUCUUCGGGGGAUAUGUUCUUGUCUUUAUGUAUGGUUUUGUAAUUAUGUAUUACAACUAUUGUCUCUUUAACGAGUCAUUUAUUUAUAUAAAGUUUUUCAUAGUAA